rfam:Ictidomys tridecemlineatus contig057415, whole genome shotgun sequence.
GGGGAUAUAGCUCAGUGGUAAAGCACCUGCCUAGCAUGUAUGAGGCCCUGGGUUUGAUCCCCAGUACCACCA